AACGUAGGUUCCGAGCGUUAAUCGGAAUUACUGGGCGUAAAGCGCACGUAGUCGGCUUUGCAAGUCGGUUGUGAAAUCCCCAGGCUUAACCUGGGAACUGCGUGUGAUACUGGAUGGCUUGAAUUCGGGAGAGGGAUGCAGAAUUCCAGGUGUAGCGGUGAAAUGCGUAGAUAUCUGGAGAAUACCGGUGGCGAAGGCGGCAUCCUGGACCGACAUUGACGCUGAGGAGCGAAAGCUAGGGGAGCAAACGGG
rnacentral:rRNA from 1 species